rnacentral:rRNA from 1 species
UACGUUCCCGGACCUUGUACACACCGCCCCGUCAAGCGAUGGAAGUUGGGAGGACCUGAAGACAGUUGUUGUGGGACGCUGUUUAGGGUAAAACCGAUNACUGGCNCU